GCUCAUUAAAUCAAACAGCACCAGGUACGGAGUUUGUGCUACAGGAUGGAAAUCAAUGUGUAUCCUCACCAAGCCUUGAGCUUUCCAGGCCCUCAUGAACUCUAUUUUAAGAACCUCACAAAAAAGAAAAAGCAAAUCAUGGAGAAGAAAGAGAAUAACCGAAAGCUUCGGGUUUGUGUUGCUACUUGCAACCGUGCUGAUUAUUCUAAACUUGCCCCGAUCAUGUUUGGCAUUAAAAUGGAACCUGAGUUCUUUGAACUUGAUGUGGUGGUACUUGGCUCUCACCUGAUAGAUGACUAUGGAAACACAUAUCGCAUGAUUGAACAAGAUGACUUUGACAUUAACACCCGGCUACACACGAUUGUUAGAGGGGAAGAUGAGGCAGCCAUGGUGGAGUCAGUAGGCCUCGCCCUUGUGAAGCUACCAGAUGUCCUUAAUCGCCUAAAGCCUGAUAUCAUGAUAGUUCACGGAGACAGAUUUGAUGCCCUGGCUCUGGCUACCUCUGCUGCCUUGAUGAACAUUCGAAUCCUUCACAUCGAAGGUGGGGAAGUCAGUGGGACCAUUGAUGACUCUAUCAGACACGCCAUAACGAAACUGGCUCAUUAUCAUGUGUGCUGCACCCGAAGUGCAGAGCAACACCUGAUAUCCAUGUGUGAGGACCACGAUCGUAUCCUUUUGGCAGGCUGCCCCUCCUAUGACAAACUUCUCUCCGCCAAGAACAAAGACUACAUGAGCAUCAUUCGGAUGUGGUUAGGUGAUGAUGUAAAAUCUAAAGAUUACAUUGUUGCACUACAGCACCCUGUGACCACUGACAUUAAGCAUUCCAUUAAAAUGUUUGAAUUAACAUUGGAUGCACUUAUCUCAUUUAACAAGCGGACCCUAGUUCUGUUUCCAAAUAUUGAUGCAGGGAGCAAAGAGAUGGUUCGAGUGAUGAGGAAGAAGGGCAUCGAGCAUCAUCCCAAUUUUCGUGCAGUUAAACAUGUUCCGUUUGACCAGUUUAUACAGCUGGUCGCCCACGCUGGUUGUAUGAUUGGGAACAGCAGCUGUGGGGUACGAGAGGUUGGUGCUUUUGGAACACCUGUGAUCAACCUAGGGACACGUCAGAUUGGAAGAGAAACAGGGGAGAAUGUUCUUCAUGUCCGGGAUGCCGAUACCCAAGACAAAAUAUUGCAAGCACUGCACCUUCAGUUUGGUAAACAGUACCCUUGUUCAAAGAUAUAUGGGGAUGGAAAUGCUGUUCCAAGGAUUUUGAAGUUUCUCAAAUCUAUUGAUCUUCAAGAGCCACUACAAAAGAAAUUCUGCUUUCCUCCUGUGAAGGAUAACAUCUCCCAAGAUAUUGACCAUAUUCUUGAAACUCUCAGUGCCUUGGCUGUUGAUCUUGGUGGGACGAACCUCCGAGUUGCAAUAGUCAGCAUGAAGGGUGAAAUAGUUAAGAAGUAUACUCAGUUCAAUCCUAAAACCUAUGAAGAGAGGAUUAAUUUAAUCCUACAGAUGUGUGUAGAAGCCGCAGCAGAAGCUGUCAAACUCAACUGCAGAAUCUUGGGAGUAGGCAUUUCCACAGGUGGCCGUGUAAAUCCUCGGGAAGGAAUUGUGCUGCGUUCAACCAAGCUGAUUCAAGAAUGGAACUCCGUGGAUCUCAGGACCCCCCUGUCUGACACUCUGCAUCUCCCGGUGUGGGUGGACAACGAUGGCAACUGUGCCGCCCUGGCGGAAAGGAAAUUCGGUCAGGGAAAGGGCCUGGAAAACUUUGUGACGCUUAUCACAGGCACAGGAAUUGGCGGGGGGAUCAUCCAUCAGCAUGAACUGAUCCAUGGCAGCUCCUUCUGCGCCGCGGAGCUUGGCCACAUUGUGGUGUCCCUGGAUGGACCCGACUGUUCCUGUGGAAGCCAUGGGUGUAUUGAAGCCUAUGCCUCUGGGAUGGCCUUGCAGAGGGAAGCGAAAAAGCUCCAUGACGAAGACCAGCUCUUGGUGGAAGGGAUGUCAGUGCCAAAAGACGAAGCCGUGGGCGCACUCCAUCUCAUCCAGGCUGCGAAACUUGGCAACGCGAAGGCCCAGAGCAUCUUGAGAACAGCUGGAACAGCUCUGGGUCUUGGGGUUGUAAACAUCCUCCACACCAUGAAUCCUUCCCUUGUGAUCCUCUCUGGAGUGCUAGCCAGUCACUAUAUCCACACCGUCAAAGACGUCAUCCGCCAGCAAGCCUUGUCCUCGGUUCAGGACGUGGACGUGGUGGUGUCAGAUUUGGUGGAACCUGCCCUGCUGGGUGCGGCCAGCAUGGUUCUGGACUACACGACUCGCAGAAUCUACUAGGCCUCCCGGGCGUGGAGGUGGGCCAAGCCUCGUGAGCUCCUUGGUGGAAUCAGGUUGUCUUCUAGAUGAGCAUUUCUUAGAAAGCAAAUUUGGUAUUUAAAUUUGUUCUUUGGCAGGCGACUUUGGCGGGGAAGUUUUUGCUUUUAGUCUCCUCUUCCAAAGUCAUUUGCCCAGCCCUCACUUUUGUAGAUGCUGCUCUUUCUGGGGUCACUUCAGCUCAAACCUUGUAGGGACCAGUCACGGUCUUCUGUGCCAAAAGGAACUACAGUAGUAGACGAGGAAGCCUUCGGACUCUGCUUACUGCAUGUACCACUCAGACCUGUGGGCCUUGCUUGGGUAUGACUUUGAUACUGGAGUUUGGAUUAUUAAUCCUUACUCCUCUGACCCAAAAUUUAGAACACAGAAAGGGGUCCAGUCAGGGAACAGAAGGAAAUCUCACCGUGAAAGGCUUAAGUAAACAUUUUAAAAAGUUUUAUUGAGGUAUUUUUUAAAGUGCACAAUUUGAUAAGUUUUGAUGUAUGUAUAUACCUGUGAAACCAUGACCAUAAUCAAGACAUUAGACGUGUCUCCCUCCCAAGCGUUACUUGUGGAAAGAUGUUAUUUGUUAUUACUCUUGCAGAAUCAUGAGCAACUUUAGACCAGGAAUCUGAAUUACAGUGGCCUUAGUGACCUUGUCCUUAUCUUCUUAAGGACAGCUGAGAAGCCACUAGGACUUACAGCCUCUGAAAGGAGAUUAACCAUCCCAAAAGGAUCUUUGCUACUGACUGGCAGGCACCUCUCCCUUCAAGAGCUUUUCAGGCUAUGCUGACUGUGAUCCUGGAGUGCCUGUACAUAUGGCAGUGUUUGCUGUGUGUCAUACCUCAGGCCCACAUCUGUGAAUCCGCAUUCUUGCUAAGUAAGAUUCCAUGCUUGCACUGGUGUCAAGAUACAAAGGCCAGGGUUCUUGCUAUCAGUUUCAACCUGGAAGAAACACUAACAGCCACCAUUUUUUAAGUGCCUACUGUGUGCCAGGCUCUGAACUUGGUGCUUCAUACAUAUUAUUGUAAGUUCUCACAACCAGUAAGGUAGGUGUUUUAAUUCCCAUUUUAUAGAACUAAGUCUUAAGUGGCAUGCCUAAAGCCAUGUGGCUAGUGAGUCUUAGAGACGGGGUCUGAUCCUGGGUCCCUCUGUGCUCUUCUGCUAAGCCACACAACCUCUGUUCACAUUAAAAACUUUCAAAGGGCAAAAUAUAUUCUAAUUUACUCCAGGCUACCAAAAGCUUUCACGAGAAUGCCUGCUUAUUAAAUGACUCGAUUUAUCUGUGACAUUGUCUUCUCAGAGGUGUUUAAUAAAAUAUUCCUGUAUGCUGUGGAAAUUUGCCAGUACAGUAUUUGGUCUAGUGGCAGGUUUUUAUGGGUACUUUCAGAUGAUCUAAAAAAGCAGAUGCACAUGGGUUUUUUAGAUUAUUUUAGGGAAACCUGAAGGUUUCUACAAAAUAGAGGAAUCAGUAUCUCAUGUGAACUACUUCCUUCCUAGUGGAUUAAUGUUAAAAGAUAGGCUUGCUGAUUCCUAGAACUUUAUCAGCUCUGAAAUAAUCUCCAGGUCCUGGUUAUUUUUGAAAUGUUCCUCAUUGAUUCCUGGAAAGGAAGCUAGGUGGCUUGGCCAUCUGUCUGGGGCGAGCUGGGGUACUUGGAAGGGGCAUCAGGUGUUCCUUGGUGAAAUCUGUAGCCAUUUGAUACACCAGACAGUUGCAUUGCUACCAAGUUUCAUACCAAACAUUUGGAAGGAUGGUAUUGAAUCUACAACCAAAUCUUAGUUUUUAUUAAAUUAAUGGAAAGGCUAAAAUAAUAUAUUCCAACAUAAUUAUUACAUGUAGUUAAAUGAUCACAUCUUAAUUUAUUUUAAUGUAAAUAUUUUUGUUACUGUUCUGAGUCAAAUUCCAAAGAAAAAAUAAAUAUAUUUCCUUGUGGAAAUUCUGACAUUUUUGUAUUUUUGUUUUGAUCUUAAUUAGCUCAUUAGCUAAAAGCAUUUCCCUUCCCCCCAAAAUUUUAUAUUGUUGCAUUGCUUGCUUUUUGAAGGUUAUAUAACUUCUUUAAAGGCAUUUAAUAUUGAUUUAACCACGCCCCCAAAGACUGAUAAUAAACCAUUGUUAUAUAGCUUUUUAAAAAAUUGCAAAAUAAUCACCACACUGUCUAGCUAAUAUCAUCCCCAUACGUAGUUAACAGUUUUUUUUCUUUUGAUGAGAACUUUUAAGAUCUACUUUUAUAACAACUUUCAAAUAUGCCACAUAGUGUUACCAGCUAUAGUUGCCAUGUUGUACAUUAUAUCCCCAGGACUUACUUAUUUCAUAACUGGAAGUUUGUACCUUUUGUCGCCCUUCACCCAUUUCACUGAUUUCCUACCCUCAGCCUCUGGCAAUCACCAAUCUGUUCCCUGUAUCUUAUGAGCUUGCUUCUGAGGUUUUUGUUUUUUAAAGAUUCCAUGUAUGAGUAAGAUCAUAUGGUAUUUGUCUUUCUCUGUCUGAUUUAUUUCACUUAGCAUAAUGCCCUCAAGGUCUAUCCAUGUUUCACAAAUAGCAUGAUUUCAUUUUUUUAUGGCCGAACACUAUGCUGUUACACACACACACUUUCUUUAUCCAUUCAUCAGUUGAUGAACACUUGGGUUGUUUUCGUAUCUUGGCUGUGUAAAUAAUGCUUCAUGUAAGGGUGCAUAUAUAUCUUUUUGAAUUAGUGUUUUCAUUUUCUUUGAAUAAAUACCCAGAAGUGGGAUUGCUGGAUCAUAUGGUAAUUCCAGUUUUAAAUUUUUUGAGGAACCUCCAUCGUAUUCUGUAGUGGCUGCACCAAUUUACACUCCCAUCAGCAGUGCACGAGGGUUUCCGUUCUCCAUAUCCUCUCCAACACUUGUUUCUUGUCUUUUUGGUAACAGCCAUUCUAAGAGGUAUGAGGUGGUAUCUCAUUGUGGUUUUGAUUGUCAUUUUCCCUGAUAGUGAUGUUGAGCACCUUUUCAUUUACCUGUUGGCCAGCCGUAUGUCUUAUUUUUUGAAUGUCUAUUUAGAUCCUCUGUUUAUUUUUAGAUUGGAUUGUUUUUAUGCUAUUUCAGGCCUUAGAGUCAGGUCUUUUUUGGGGUUAAUUUUUGUGUAUGGUGUAAGGUAAUGGUCCAGUUUUCCCAACACCGUUUAUUGAAGUGACUGCCCUUUCCUGAUUGUAUAUUCUUGGCUCUUUUGUAAUAACUAAUUGACCUUCUAUGAGUGGGUUUAUUUCUGGGCUACUGUGUUUCAUUGAUCUGUGUGUAUGUUUUUAUGCCAACACCAUACUGUUUUUGAUGACUAUAGCUUUCUACUAUGGUUUGAAAUCAGGGAGAGUGAUGCCUCCAACUUUGUUCUUUCUCAAGAUUGCUUUGGCUAUUGAGGGUCUUCUGUGUUUCAAUACAAAUCUUAGGAUUGUUCUAUUUUUGUGAAAAAUGUCAUUGGACUUUUGAUUGGUACUACACUGAAUCUGUUGAUUGCUUUGGAUACGAUGGACAUUUUAACCAUACCCUUUAAUCCAUGAGCAUGGGGUAUCUUUCUGUUUGUGUCUUCAGUUGCUUUCAUCAGUGUCUGAUAGUUUUCAGUGUACAGUUUUCACCUCCUUGGUUAAAUUUAUUCCUGGGUAUUUUAAUCUUUUUGAGGCAAUCAUUAAUGGAAUUGUUUUCUUAAUUUCUGAUAGUUCACUAUUAGUGUACAGAAAUGCAACAGAUUUCUGUAUACUGAUUUUGUAUCCUGUAACUUUACCGAAUUGACUUAUUCUGUUUUUUUGGUGGCGUCUUUAGGGUUUCCUAUAUAUAAAAUCAUGUCAUCUGUAAAUAGUGAGUUUUAUUUCUUCCAAUUUGGAUGCGCUUUAUUCUUUUUCUUGUGUUCUAAGUGUUCUCACUAGGACUUCAGUACUAUGUUGAAUACCAUGUAAGAUUUGACAUAAGAGGCAAAAGUGGCCCAAAGAAAGAGGUUUGAAACUAAAUGUUGAGCAUUCAUUGGCUUUCUGGAGCAACUCCUUCCUUUUUAUGAAGCCCCAUGUGGGUGAUGUAGGCAUUAGAAACAAUCCAGAGUUACUACUGCUGUGUAAUAAACCACCUCAAAACUGAAGAGGCUUAAACAGUAAUCAUUUUCUCUCAUGGUUUCUGUAGGCCAAGAAUUUGGAAAAGGCUCUGCUUGGCAGUUCUGACAGGGCGGCCAAUGCACUUGCAGUUAGACUGGCUGGAGCUGGAAUGAGAGGCAGCUGGAAAACUAAGGAGGGACUAGCCAGGCAUUUCUCUUUGCUUGUGGUUUCAGGGUCUCUCCGUGUAGUGUCUCCACGUGGCCUGGUUUGGGCUCCCUCAUAGCAUGGCGGCUUCAGGGUGGUACCUUUUUAUAUGGUGGCUCAAGGACUAGCAGCUUGUGUGUUCCAGCAAACCAGCCGUAAGCUACGUCGCCUUUUAUGACCUAGCCUUGGAAGCUGUAUAGCAUUACUUUUGUCAUAUCCAGUCACCUCUUGAUUCAGAGGAAGUCACAGACUUUAUUGACGUCUUACAACUGCCACAUCCACCCUCACGAAACCCAUCUGGUGUGGGAGGCAAGGCCGGUCCAGACAGCACCACCGAGACAGUAUCAAAAGGUAAGCUGUCCCACACAGAGAGCCACGGGAGCUCAGGGGAGGAAGUAAGGAAAGGCAUUGUAGAGGUGGCCUUUGAGCUAAUUCUUAAAUCAGAUUUCCACAUCUUCAACGGCAUUAGCAAGGCCCAGAGGCAACAUAGUUGGUGAACAGCAGCUAAUGACGGCUUGAUUGCAAUCAGAGGUGGCUAAAGGGGAGGAAUGAGCAGAGGCCAGAAAUGCGGGUCAGAUAAGGAAUGCCCAACUUAGAAGCUUGGGAACGGGGAGGUAGGCAGAAAAGUAAAAGUUCCUCUCCCUUCCAGACAUAAUUACCAUAAGAGAGACGGUGGACUUCCCUUCUCGGCAAUGUCAAGACCUAACCCUGCUCCUCUGCCUCCUGAGUGUGGUGUUACAGGAGUUUACAUCAGUCUCCAACUUGGAAAUAGUAUCAGUUCUUGCAAGGAAGGAAGGGGACACUACAGAAACACCUAAUUCACGGACCACCUUCAUUCAACUGGAAUGCGAGGCCAAAUCUUUGACUUCCCCCAGGAAAGCAUCCAGAGUUAAGAAAACAACACUUCAUGGAAUACUUUCAAAGAGCUCAAUUUGAUAAUUGAAUGAGAAAAUGCAAUCUUUCGACAUUCUCCAUGUAUCCAUGUACUGUCUCCACAGAGAAGAUGACUUUGCUAAACUUCAGAGAAAAAGAUAAAACUGGGUUCUACAACAUGAAAAAUACUCCACUAGUAAUGCCAGCUAAGCCUUGCCUCUAAGCCUACUCUGAAGGUACUCAAAGAACAAGCAAGGACCAAGGCUGCUAGCACCAUGAAGGCCUAUUUGCAUCUUUCUAAAGCUGCACUAUCCAGUAAAGUGGCUACUAGCCUCAUGUGGCUAUUUAAAUUUAUUAAAAUUAAAUAAAAUUUAAAAUUCAGCUUCUCAGUCAUACUAGCCACAUGCAGCUAGUGGCUACCAUACUGAACAGCACAGAUACAGAACAGUUCCUCAUCAAAGCUGCUGUUGGAUAGUGCUGUAAAGGUUUAAACCUAAGUGUGCCCUUUGUUCUGAGACCCACAAAAGGUGGGCUGGAGAGAGAAAAGACCUGACACUAAUUGGCUGUAUUAUCUGGGUCAAGUCCCUUCCUAUUUCUAGGUGUCAGUUACACCAUCUGAGUUACAUUUUUACUACUUCAGUGACUCCCAAGAAGGAAUAAUAAUGCUAACACUGUGGUUACGUAAAAGAACAUCAUUAUUUCUAGAAGUACAGCAUUUAGGCAAGUAUGUGAUGUUUAUAUCUUUAAGUGGAUCAGAAAAAAAAUUAUGUGUACAUUCAUAAUACAUAUAUAAAUGUGUGAGUGCAUGUGAAUAUGUAACACAUACAUGCCUCAUUUAUACAAUAACCCACAAUGGCAAGAUGUUAACUACUGAAUCUGGAGGGGAAGACACACUCUUCUUUCAACUAUUCUGUGUUUGAAAUUUCAACAAAAAGUUGAGAAGUACUUUGUGGAUAACAUCCCCCAUGCUCUGCCACACCUUUCCAACCCACAUGUACAGGUAACAACUCUCUCCUGAUCUUGACCAACUGCUGACACCCAUGGAGAAGGCUCUUUGCCAAAGGCCAGGCUGAUCCCAGGCUCAGCCUGCCUUCCAGCUGGAGUUCACUAAACGUAAGGUGGCUGAGGGGACAGGUAUCAACUCUGAAGCAGGGCAGACUUCAGCUGCAACUCUGACUCUACCACUCAAAUACUUAUUCUUCCUAUGAUCCUCACUUUCCUCACCCGUAAAAAAUGUAAAAACUUAACAUACAGGGAUACUAGGGUAAGAAAACUGAAUUGUACAUGUUUCCUACAUCCCUCACUUUUUCUCUUAAGCGUUACCUUAAAUUCAGUCUUCAAAUGAUAAACUGUGCAGUCCCUCACUUGGAUGUAAUACCGUCAGGUUUACAAAGCACUCGCAUGAAUACCAUCUCAGACUACCCUUGGAGUUGGUAACAUGGAUCUUACAUCACAGAUGAAGAAACAGACUCUGUAAAGUUUGAGCAACCAAGUGCCCAGAGCUUGUGCUGUGUAAGAGUUACGGCUGGGCCUGGAAGCCAGUCUUCUACUUCAAGUCCAAGGCUCUUUCCACAGCACCACUCCGCCCUUCCUGGAGGAGAAGAUGCACUUGGGGCUCUCUGGACUGCCCCAGUCCCCACCCAGUGGCCUCCACGUGGGUAGCCUUGUGACCUGCAGGUUGAGAAAGAUAUCUUCCCCCAAACUGGACAAGGACAUUAUGAGCUAAUUCAAGUUAAAAAGGAAUAAAAGUAGAAUCAAGGUCAA